UUUUUUUUUUUGAGAUGGAGUCUCGCUCUGUCCCCCAGGCUGGAGUGCAGUGGCAUGAUCUCGGCUCACUGCAACCUCUGCCUCCCAGGUUCAAGUGAUUCUCCUGCCUCAGCCUCCUGAGUAGCUGGGAUUACAGGUGUGCGCCACCACGCCCAGCUAAUUUUUGUAUUUUUAGUAGAGACGGGGUUUCACCAUGUUGGUCAGGCUGGUUUCGAACUCUUUAUGUUGUGAUCCACCUGCCUCGGCCUCCUGAAGUGCUGGGAUUACAGGUGUGAGCUACCAUGCCCGGCUGAAACCACUUUUUUCCCUUAGCUUUAAAAAAACUUUUACUUGGAAAUAUGUAUAGACUUACAGAAAAGACUUCUAAAAAUAAGGAAAUUAACAUUGACAUCAUAAACUAAUCUGCAAACAAUUCAAACUCUAACAAUUUCCCUACUAAUGUACUUCUUCUGGUCUGGGAUCUAACCAGAAUUCCACAAUACAUUUAGUUGUCAUGUCUCUGUAGUCUCUGUAAUCAGUCUUUGUCCUUCAUGACCUUGACACUUUUGGAGAGUGCUGGUCAGUUAUUUUCUAGACCGUCCCUCUGUUGGGGUUUGUUUGUUGUUUCCUCAUGAUUAGAGUGAGAUUAUGCAUUUUUUGCAAUAAUGCCACAGAAAUGAUGGUAUGCCCUUCUCAGGGCAUGAUGUCAGGGAGUACAUGAUUUCAAAUGUCUUAUUACUGGUGAUGUUUACUUUUUUUUGAGACAGAGUCUCACUCUUACCCAGGCUGGAGUGCAGUGGCAGGAUCUCGGCUCACUGCAACCUCCACCUCCUGGGUUCAAGCAAUUCUCUUGCCUCAGCCACCAGAAUUACAGAUGUGUGCCACCAUACCCAGCUAAUUUUUUUUUAUUUUUCGUAGAGACGGGGUUUCACCAUGUUGGCCAGGCUGGUCUCGAACUCCUGAUCUCAAAUGAUCUGCCCACCUCAGCCUCCCAAAGUGCUGGGAUUACAGGCGUGAGCCACUGUGCCUAGCCUAGGUGAUGUUUACUUUGCUCACUUUACUUAGAUAGUGUUUGUCAGGUUUCUGCACUAUAAGGUGACUAUUUUUCCCUUUGUAAUUAAUAAGUACCUUUUAGGGAGAUACUUUGACACUAUGGAAAUAUCCUGUUUCUCAUACUUUUGUCCACUAAUUUUAGCAUCCAUUGAUGGUUCCCUGCAACAGUUAUUAGCUAUGAUAUUUGCUUAGUAGUGAUUAUUUAUUUCCAUCAUUUCUUCCACUUUGAAUUCCACUUUCAAAUUUAUUAAUUUGAAACGCUAAUUUAUUUUUUAUCAAUUUGGACUUACGGGCAUAAUCUGUUACUAUCAUUAUAUAUAUUAUUGCUCAAAAUGUUUCCACCUAAGCCAUUAAGAGGUCCCUCUAGUUAGCUCCUAUAUCCUUUUUUAGCUACCCCUGUCAUUUUUUGAGCACUCCUUUUUGGCAUCAGAAGCUGUUCCAGGCUCAUCUAUAUUUUAUGUUCUAAGCCUGAAAUCAACUGUUUCUCCAAGGAGCUUUGGUUCCUUAUAUUAUAGACUGGUAUUUAGAAACCAAGAUCGUAGAGCUAGGUGUGCUCACUGCUUCUCAGAAGACAUUGGAAAUGUAUGUAUGUGUAUUAACCCAUGUAUACACACAUAUAUAGUUAUUUUGGUUUUUCUUUUUGUAAUAGUCGAAAUACUUACGAUAGCUCUUUCUAUCUCACCCUCUUCAUUUGUCAUGUUAUUCAUCUGUGGUACAAUUAAGUUCACUGGUUACUGUUUAUUCUAUUUUGGGUUGUCCUCCUCACAUCCUGGUUUAUUUAUUUUGGGGGUAUGUAAAACAUUAUAUGAUUUUAAGAGUCAGAAUUAUUUUAAAAGGUAUACUUAGAAAGGUUUUACUCCUCCUUUAUGACUAUUACUCUGUUUCUUUUUCCUAUUCCCUUCUGCCCUGUUCCCACUUACUCUUAACCAGUCUCAUUAAUUUAUGGUUUAUUCUUUUUUUUUCUUUUUUUUUUUUCUUGAGAUGGAGUCUCACUGUUGUUGCCCAGGCUGAAGUGGAAUGGCAUGAUCUUGGCUCACUGAAACCUCUGCCUCCCAGGUUCAAGUGAUUCUCCUGCCUCAGCCUCCCAAGUAGCUGGGAUUACAGGCACCUGCCACCAUGCCUGGCUAAUUUUUUGUAUUUUUAAAACACAAAACAUUUUUAGUAGAGAUGGGGUUUCACUUUGUUGGCCAGGCUGGUCUCGAACUCCUGACCUCAUGAUCCACCUGCCUCGGCCUCCCAAAGUGCUGAGAUUACGGGCGUGAGCCACCACACCUGGCCAGUUUAUUCUUUUGUACAAAUGAAUAUACAUAUGAAAGAAAAAAAUAUAUAUAUUUACAUUCCUUUCUGUUUUGCAUGAAAGGUAGCAUACUAUAGAUACUCUUUCACAUUUUGCAUUUUAAAUUUAAUGUGUCCUGGAAAUCACUCAAUAUAAGUUCAUAGAGAUCUUCAUUCUUCUUUAUAGCUGUAUAGUAUCCCAUUGUGUUGGAUACAUUGUAGUUUAUUCAACCACUCUUACGUAUGAACAUUGAGCAUCUAGGUCGCUUCUAAUAUUUUGUAAUUACAAUGCUGUAGUGGAUAACCUUGUGCAUAUUAAUUUUUUAUUGUUGGAGGUUUAACUUCAGAGUAGAUUCCUAGAAGUAGAAUUGCCAGGACGAAAGCUAAAUGCAUCCAUAAUUUUUACUAAGGGUUGUUAAAUUUCCUUCCAGGAGGGCUCUACCAAUCUUCAUUCUCACCAGCAAUGUUCAAGAAUAUUCUCCCACAGCCUUGAUAACAGAAUAUAUUGUCAUACUUUUUAAUUUUUGCCAAUAUGAUAAAGAAGAAAUGGUAUCUCAGUGUUGUUUUAAUGUCCAUUUUUCUUUUUUUUUUUUUUAAUUUUUGUGACAGAGUGUUAUUCUGUUGCCCAGGCUGGAGUGCAGCGGCAUGAUGCAGCUUUGAACUCCUGGACUCACGUGAUCCCCUAUCUCAGCCUCCCAAAUAGCGGGGACUACAGAUGUGCACCACCACACUCUGCUAAUUUUUAAAAUUUUUUCUGUAAACGUAGGGUCUUGCUACGUUGCCCAGGCUGGUCUCAAACUCCUGGGCUCAUGCAAUCCUCCUCCCUCAGCCUCCCAAAAGACUGUGAUUAUAGGUGUGAGCUACCAUGCCUGGCUGCAUUUUUGUAACUAUAACAUUUUUUUCUUAUAUUUAAGGGCCAUUUUGUGUAUUUCAUUUUAUAUAUUUUUGGUUCACUUGUCUGUUGAUAUUGGGUUUUUGGUCCUUUCUCCCUUGAUAUUCAAAAGCUCUUUGCAUAUUAGUGGUAUGUCUGUUGCAAAUAUUUUCUCCUAGUUUGUCAGUUGUCUUUUGACUUUGUUUAUGGUAAUGAUGGUGUUGCUGUUUUACCAUGUGUUAUAUUUCAUUUUUAUGUGGUCAAAUUAUCUUUUUUUUUGCCUCUAUUUUAAGUCAGUCUCUACACUGAGAUCAGAGAGUAAUUUACUCAUGGUUUCUUCUAGUAAUUGUAUAAUUUUAUUUUUUGUACUUAGGUCUCUGGUACAUUUGGAGUUUAUUCUUUUGUACGGCAUGAAAUGCAGAUCUAAUUUUAUUUCAUUUUUUUCCAACUGGCUACCCAGUUGUCCUGACACCAUUUAUUAAAAAGUACAUCUUUGCCCCAGUGGCUUGAGAUGCCACUUUCAUCACAUGCUAAAUUGGACGGAAUCACCUGUAAAGUUCCCUUUUUGCUAUUUUUACUUUGUCAUGGUGUGAUUUGUCUUUUGCUAUCUGUUCAUUGCCUGUGGUGACAAAUGUUUGUUCUUCUGAAAGAAUAGUUAAUUAUUGCAGCAAUAAUCUUGAAAGCUAAAGCAAUUUACCGUCUGGCUCUGUGUUUAUAAAACACUGUUACCCAAAUUGAACCCACAGCUCUGAGAUAUUACUCCUUCUGUCUAAAUGUUAUCAGUGUCUGUUCUAUUGUAAAAUCAUUAGGCUGAAAUGAAGCUUUUUAAAAUUAGUCUCAAUUCUACUUUGGAACCAUUGUACUGAAACCUUGGAGAACAGUCUUAUGAGAACUGGCUUUAUUCAUGUUUAUUGUCUUUGACUCCUGGACUUGUUUCCUUCAUUCAGCUGCUGGAUCUAGGUAGACAAAUUGUUAUACCAGACUAUUGUCAGAGUAGAUUCAUUAGAAUAAUAAGGUAAUUUAACUUUCAUGUGCACCUAUAUCCAGAGUACAAAGUUGCCUGGCAACAAUGAUGUCCUCAUUAAAAUUCAGAAAACCUCAAACAAAGUCCAGCCAUUAUUCUUCUAAAAUGAAUUUACAUGUGAAGGAACACCAUCUUACAGAAUCCUCCUGUUUUCAGAAUAAAUAAUUAGCUCUUUAGAGAAAUAGAUUAAUAAAAGCAAUGCAAUAUUGUACUGUUUCUCCGUCUUAUAAGGCCAGUCUUAAGUAUUUGAUUAGUGCCAUAGAGCUGACUUUGCUUGCAAAGCACCCCCAUUUCUUGGGCUUCAAAUGUCAGAGUAAAUGGAAAGUGCCAGAGGAAUUUUAAUUCAUUUCCUUUAUUUUGUCUCUCUUUUAAAAUACUUAUUUCAAAGUGAUGAAGAAAGGUGCAGGUAAAAAUGAAGCCAUGGCUUCUAUUACGAUUUUUUCCUUUAUAGUCAUGUUAUUCAUACCUUUGCCCUCUAGAGGGAGCAAGAAGGUUAUAGUUGUUAAGUAGUCAUAAUUCCUGAAAAAACUCAAAUCUUACCUCCCUUACCUCCCCAACCCAGAUGGAAAUUUGUUUCAGUAGGUGGGGCUAUUUCCUUGGAAAUAGUAUUAUUUAUUUCACUCCUCAAGCUCCCCACUGUGGUCCUUUUCCUCCAUUAAGGUAGAGAGACCUGUAAAUUCUUUUCUCCCAAUUCCUACCAGCAACAAAAAUGUUAGAGAACAUGGCCAAAAACUAAACCAUAGUUUAAUUUGACUAGUUAGAGAACCAACCCUCCAGGUGGCUUCUGGGCUGAAAAGUUGAUGUAUCACAAGAUCCUUCGUUGAUAGAAAAGUCCAAGCUAUUAGAAAAUGCUGUUUCUCAUUGGUCUCCUGCUUCACAGGAAGCUUUCUCCGUGACGACUGGUCCCAAAUAAACACUUACAACUUUCUCUGAAACAAAAGCCUGUACAAUAAUGAUGACCUAAUUUCAACGUAUACAUUUUCUCUUUCUUGUGGUUAUUGGUAAAUUCAAGAUGGGUUUGUGGCGCCUGAUUCUGGAUCUUAAAUGUUAUGCUGAAUCUGAGAGCUUGGCUUGAGGGAGGUUUGGGAGUGGUUGGGUUUUUUCUUCUUUGGCCUGACAUGGGCUGGCCUAUGGAGGAUUUCGGCCCCAGUGCCUUCCAUGCACGGAAGAAACCUUUCUUCAUACUGUACAGUGGGCUUGACGUACCAUCUGUAUGCUGCUGAUUCCCAAAUUUUUAUCCUCAUCUCUGACCUCACAUCAGAGUGGCCUGUUUCAUAUUACUUGAAUAUCUCAUUGGAAUUUCAAAUUUAAUAAGUUCAAAACAGAAUCCCUGACUUUUCCCACUGCACACCAGUUUCUUCCCCAGGAUUCCCCAUUUCUGUAAAAAUGGACAACCGUCUAUUACUGACUUAUGAGUCAUUUUUGGUUCCUCAGCUUUCUUCACCCCUACCAUCUAAUCCAUCAGCCAAUUCUGCUGAUUCUACCUCCAAAAUAUUUCCUCGUCCUGCCUUCUUUUACUUAUCUCUCCUACUCUCUACUCCACUUCCAACAGGUAUCAAGCUAUGGUUAUUUCUCACCCAGAACAUUAGGAUAGCUUCUUAGCAGAUGUAAUGAUGGCCAUGGUUUGGAACAAUUUCAUGUGCUUUUCUCUUUUUCCUGAAUAUAUCUGUCUCUGAGAUGAGAUAAAUGAAUGCAAACUAAAAGGAAGAGUUAAGAUUUGGCUUCUGACAUUCAAAAAUGGGGUUCUGCAGAAAGACAGUAGGCUUAAAAACUAGUCCGUGUAGGGAGAGAAAAGAUUUUUAAAUGUUUUUAUUUUUUAUUUUCGUAGCAAGGAGUAGGCCUGGAAAAUUAGACUGUAAAUUUCUAUGAUAACAUAUAUUAAUAGAAUGUUUAUUCUAUUCACCAUUAAUGCUCAGUAAUGAGGCUGCGGUUCAGAAGAUGAUGACUAUGAUAAUGAAGGCUGCACUCCAGCCUGAAUAGAUUUUUGGAGGAGGAAGACAGAGAGAAGGGGGUCAGAAGAGGUAGAUGGUGAGUUCAGCACUCUGAUCUUCCUUCUGGUCUCAACCCUGGAGAGUGGGAAGUCUGUUAAAUUCCUAAAGGGAAAUGGGGCAGAGAGGUUCCUUCCUUGCUUCCAGCCUGGGACACUGGGAAGAGAUCACCUGGAAGCUCCUUGAGGGACCUUCUUGGCAAACCUGGAGGGUGACCACAUGAAAUCAAUUCAGAGAUGUGGUCAGAGAGAGUGAUGGUCUAAUUUGCAUCCCCAGUACUUCCUCUGUUCUCCCAAGACAUGAAUGCAGACUUGAGAGCUGACAAGGCCUACACAGGCCUGUUGAGAUAGGGGAUUUACAGAGACUUAGAGGGGUUUGUAAUGCCCGUGAGAGCUGAAAUGAAUGCGGCUGUCAUACAAGGAGUCACUGGGUCCAACUGAGCUGAGAGGGAGCAUAGACCAAGAUGCCUGCCAGCUGCAGCCUCAGCCAUAGCCCCUAAUGACACCAUUGAGGGCUAAUCACAAGGGGAAUAAGGCACAUUGCUGGGGAGCCAAAAGACCCUGCAUGGUUUUGAGGACUUUUACCCCCAAAUCUGCAAGGUCAUGUACACUUCUUUGCCCAGCACUGUCCCGGGGGACAGGGAUGUUGCUGAAAUCUAGAGACUAAGUAUGUUUAACCAAAGUGGCCGAGUUUUACCUAAAAGAAAGAUUUAAAUUAUUGUAUUGAUCUAAAUAUUAUCCCCUGCUUUUUUGUUUUUCUGUAGUGCAUAGGAGCUAGCAAGCAAGAAUAGAUCAGAUCUAGGCGAAGCAGAAGUGUAAUUUCUCUGCACAUGUGAGUUCUAGGGUGAGUGCUGCACUGGUUGCUUCCUGCCCCCACCCUUACCACUACUGUAGUACACACACAGCAGGCAAAGUGGUCUUUAAAAGUGAGAUCUGGUUCUAUGUCCUAUCCCAACCUUCUAAAAAACUUCCUGUUGGGCACAGAAUUAAAUACCAGCACCUCACUAUGGCAUAAAAGGCCCCACAUGAUCUGGGUCCUAUCUUCUGUCUGUCACAUCCUAUACCUUGUCUAAGAAGCUGCAGCACAGUGACCCCUCUACUCCUUGAACAGGCUUUGCUAUUUCCCAUUGCAAGCUUUUGCACUUGGUGUUUAUGCUGAUGCCUUCCAUUUGCCCUUCUAGACCUAAUCUUCAGUCUUUCUCAUCUUGUUCUGUGUGCCAGUAGGCUGAUGGUGUGAAUUGCAUCAAUGAACACUCUUGCUUCCUGACUUCCUGUUGGAAUUGGCCAAUGGGAAGCACUAGCAGGAGAUCAGAGAGAGUGAGGAGGAGAUAUUUAUUCAGGGUAUUUACCACCCCACCCCUGCUCCUUCCUUGCUGGCUAGUCACCUGAGGAUGGUUGCAUCCCUUUACCAAAGGCCACAGCUCCUAUCAGGGGUCUUCUCCAUCUUUUGGUAGCCACUCCUCCCUUUGUCCCUGCAGGUCAGGGGUGCUCAUGGUUCCCCCCACUUUUGGUAGCCCUGGGUAGCUAGUUUCAUUAAGCUCUGCCUGCGCUUUUGCACAUCAUCCCUUGUGAGUGUCUUCUGCUUCCUAUUAGGCCUCAGCUGUCACAUUGCUCCUUCUGUAGGCUCUCUGCAUGCUGGUUCGUUCUUUUCCUUGAGCUCAGCUCAGAUGUUACCUUCUGAGGCAGGAGUAAAGGGAGGGAAGAAAGGGCCCCCCGACUCCUCCUCAUCUCCCUGCCCACUCCCAUGUCCUGCUUUAUGCUCUUCACUUAUUUAUUUAUUUUAUUUAACAUCUUUUUCAUUGUGGUAGGAAUACUUAAUGUGAAACCUACCCUCUUGCCAAGUUUUUAACAGUGCAAUAUAGCAUUGUUUAUAAUAGGCAUAAUACUGUACCACAGAUCUCCAGAACUUUCUUAUCUCACGUAACUGAAACUUUAUACCUGUUGAAUAGACACUCCCUAUCCCAUCCUUCCCUCCCCGCAGCUCCUGGGAACCACCAUUCUACUCUGUGCUUCUAUGUGUCUGACUAUUCUAGAUACCUUAUAUAAAUAGUGGAAUUACGCAGUGUUUGUCUUUCUGUGACUCUGGCCUUCACCCUUUUUUUUUUUUUUCCCCGAGAUGGAGUCUUCCUCUGUCUUCCAGACUGGAGUGCAGUGGCGUGAUCUUGGCUUGCUGCAACCUCCGCCUUCCAGGUUCGAGCAAUUAUCCUGCCUCAGCCUCCCGAGUAGCUGGGACUACAGUUGCGUGCCACCAUGCCUGGCUAAUUUUUUUUGUAUUUUUAGUAGAGAUGAGGUUUCACCAUAUUGGCCAGGCUGGUCUCAAAAUCCUGACCUUGUGAUCUGCCCACCUUGGCCUCCCAAAGUGCUGGGAUUACAGGUAUGAGCCACCGCGCCCGGCCCCUUCACUCUUUUUAACAACAUAUUUUUAAUUUCUUGCAUUGAAAUCAUAAUUUGACACUAUUUUUUGUUGUUGUUUUUUACUUGUCUCUUUUAACUGGACUGUAAGCCAACAAUAGAAGGAAACUUUUGUGUUUCACUCACUACAGUGUCCCCGGUGCCUAGAACAGGGCUUGUACAUAGGAAGCAGGAAAUAAACUUUUUUUAAAAGAAUGAAUGGGGAGCUGAUUUUUCAUGCCCUUGAGAAGCCAAGCUCUUGAGGCAGGCAUAUGUGGGGGUGUCAAAAGCAGAUCAGGAGGUCGUCUCAUUUCCUUGUACUUUCAUUGCAUCAAGGUGCCAACACUGCUUCUCAGGUACCAUUUGUUAACUGAACCAUCAGUGCUUAGGAAGUAGAAAGGAAGAAAUGAAAUAAUUAUGUUUCAGAUUGAGCCCUUUUCCUGGAAACUUGGAAGAGUGUUCCAUACCAUCCAGUCUUUCUGUCACUUUUACCUAUUUCAGGUGUGUCCAGUCUCAGCUGGGAAUGGAAGAUGCUUUGCAUAUCUUUAAAAUCUUCGGGCCAUAGAGUUGGGGAGAGUACAGAAAGAAUACCACAGAACUUAUAUGCCAGAAAAUGGCAGGUGCUCCGAGGGCUAUGUUGGAAUGCUUGGAGUGCAUAAAAAUACCAAGAUGGGGCGUCCUUACUCCCAGUCUUUCCAGAUGUUCUUCCCACUCCUCAACUGCUCCUGGCUCAGAAACCCUGCACACCUGGAAGAAAGUGAGAACCAGUUUUUCAACAAACACAUUGCACAGACUUAUUGUGAACCCCGGGUGGAAUCAAGCAUCGGAGGAAGAGAACGUGGUAAUAUUGACUCCAAUCCAGAAGACAGUCAUCAGUUAAGUAAAUAAAACAGGAACAGAACAUUGGUACUUACAGUAGGCAUGAUUUUAAGAUAAACCCCAAUGAGUCAUACCCUUGUAUAAUCUCCUCCCCUUGAGUGUUGUUGGAGCUAAUGAGUUGCAUUUAGUGAACAGAAUAUGGCAAAGAUGGUGGGAUCGUCACUUCCGUGGUUAUGUUAUUGCUAUGUAAACUGCCAUUAUAGCAGACUGGAAGGAUUGAUUCUCCUUUUGGCCAUGACGUAGUGAGGUACCAUGUGACAAGAAACUGCAGGCAGCCUCCUGAGUCUGAGAGUGGCCCCUGGCUGACAGCUAGCAAGAAAACAGGGACCUCAGUCCUCCAGCUUCAAGGAAGUGAACUCUCUGAAAUCACAUACACAUGGAAGAGGACCCCAAACUCCAGACUCCAGAAAAGAAUGCAGCUGUGUCGACACCUAGAUCACAGCCUUGUGAGACCCUGAGCAGGGGACCCAGUUAGGCUGUGCCUCAACUCCUGACCUAUAGAAACUGAGAUGAUAAAUGGGUGUUGUUUUAAGCCACUAAACUGGGAUGUGUUAUGAAAUGACAGAAAUUUAAUACAGUCUCCGUAUUCAGGGUGGAGUGUAAGAGAGUGUGUUUAAAUCUCAGCUUUGCUACUUAUUAGAUGUACAACCAUGGCAAUUACUUAACCCCUCUGAAUCGGUUACCUUUAUGGUAAAAUAGGAACAAAAAUUAUACCUAUUUCAGGAUGAUGAAGAGGGAAUGAAAUGGUACACGUUGAGUCACUUAACGUGGUACCUGACACAUAGUAACUUCUCAAUACAUGUUUUUCAUUGUCAUUAGAGGUUGGACAUUUUAAAUUCCAUAAUCCUAAAUGUUUUUUUCAUUAUUUUUUUCCAUGUUGCUCAUGUUUUGAAGAUUUUCAUUUAUCAUAUUACCUGAUUUUAUUUAUUAAGUAAUCAUUCAUUUUCAUUUCCUCAUCUAUUUUUUUUCUUUUCUUUUCUUUUUUUGAGAUGGAAUCUCGCUUUGUCACCCAGGCUGGAGUGCAGUGGCGCAAUCUUGGCUCCUGAGUAUCUGAGAAUACAGGCGCGUGCCACCACGCCCAGAUAAAUUUUUUGUAUUUUUUUAGUAGAGACAGGGUUUCACCAUGUUACCCCGGCUGGUCUCGAACUCUUGACCUCAAGUGAUCCACCUGCCUUGGCCUCCCAAAGUGCUGGGAUUACAGGCGUGAGCCACCACACCCAGCCCUCCCCAUCUAUUUCUAAUUCAUGACCUACAUACAGCUUCUGAUUAGCUUGGGGUAUUCUUAAUAGAUUAAUUAUAAUUAAUGUAGUUUGGCUAAAAGCAGACAUUUAGUGUUAUAGUUAGUAGAAUUUCCCUUAACUUUUGAAAUAUAAGAAAUGAAUUGUUGAACUUUGCCAGAUUAACAUUUGGAACCACAGUAUUAGCUGAUUGAUGGUAAAUAGGCAUUGGGUGACUUUCUGCAGCUAAGCAAGGCAAUCAUGAUUUGCCUUUAUAUGCCAGCAUAUUUGCUCAGGUAUUGCUGGAUGGGUGAGAAUGGCUGAAAAGAAAAUUGUUAGUUCAAGUGAAGGAAGGAAGUGCCCAGAAAGAAAAAGAAGAUAAAAUAUUAACAUUAUUUAGGUACUUAAUGGCUGGGAAUUAACUUAUGAAUCACAAAAGUUUUAGGAAUUGUUGUGCAAUGUCAGUAUUUAAAUUAUGGUAAAAUGAAUAAGUAUGCUUCAUUUAUGUUGUGUUUAUAGUAAAAUGCUCUUAUUUUGUAAUUUAUUUUGUGUAUAAUAAAAUAAGAGCAUUUUAAUCUAAAAUUAUAAUAUUUGAAGUAUGAUUGCUACUCUUUCAUUAGUGCUUUAUUUCCUCUUUGAAUAUUAUCUAAAAUACUGCAUUAUAUUAUGUUAUUAAUAUCAAGGCCUAAUGUAUUCAGUUUCUAGAUGAACACUUUUCAAGUUGAUUACAGACUUGAUAGGGAAUUAUAUCUAUUUAAUAGAAGUCUCUUUUGUACAAUCUUAGCUAAAAUUCUGAGAAACAAGAAAAAGCUAUGUUAUAAGGAACUAGUUCAUCUGCUGUAAAAGUACACUGACAUUUUAAAGUGCAAAAAACCAAAAUACAGCUUAAGAACUAUGUCUGAAAAGUUAAUGUUAAAUAAAUUAGAUUUUCCAGGUUAUACUCUGUAUACGCCCUGAAAAAGUUCUGCAAUACAACGCAUAGAAAACAUACACAUACUCACACAACAGACACAUAAUACAUAAAACACCCACAGUGCACACAUGCAAAACACACAAAUGGCAACCCCUAUAAGCAUAUUAAGUUCUCUGAGAAGUCCUACAAUAGAGACCUACUAAGUUUUGUUUAAUCAUGUGCUUCUCCAGUUGAUCUCAGAAUCCUUCCCCCACCAUCACAGGUAACCCUGAUUCCUGAUGACUUUGUGUUCCUUGGAACACACUUUAUGAAUGACGGCUCUAUGAGAUUUUUCCCAAGGAAAACUAUUACAUAGGAGAAGUGUAAGAUGCCCUCAACAUUUAUGGGUAAAAAACAGAUACCACCAUUAAAAUAACCCAUAUAUCAGAAACAAUACCUCCAAAUUAUGUGAAGAACAUUGAGAAUUCUUGCAGGGACUGAAAAUCUUUAUUUCCUUGUGGAAUCCAGGUUCUUUCUUUUGGUGUUAUGUACAGAUAAAGCCAGGUCUAUCUGCAGGUGAUCACUGUGCUGCUAGUCUCUGUUCACAUUGGUAGAAAGAUGUCGUUGGGCAGUAAAAGAUGGUCAUCUUCCUGCAAAAUGAGUCAGUAACCCAAGGGUGAAAGCUGUGUCUCCCCCACAAGUUCUAUCAGCAUCUUUUGACUUGACAGCACAAUUGGGAGCCUUAUCCUUUCUGCAUUCCUGACACAGAGGACCAAAGGCCACUCCUCAACAACUUGUACCGCUCUGUUUAUUCCAUAAAGAAUGAAAAAGGAAUAUAUUUCCACACUUUAAGACUAUAUGGUGGGGCAUUUGGAGGGUGCUUACUCUGAUAAUUAAAAGGAUUUUAUCUUCAUGAGGAAAUCGACAUUUGCUGUCAGGAUGCCAGACCACAAUUCUAUAGAAGCUUUUCUCUUUUUUUUUGAUUGAUAUGGUUUGGCUGUGUGUCUCCACCCAAAUCUCAUGUCGAAUUGUAAUCCCCAUAUGUGAGGGGAUGCUCCUGGUGGGAGGUAAUUGGGUCAUGAGGGUGGAUUUCCUCCUUGCUGUUUUUGUGAUAGUGAGUGAGUUCUCACGAGAUCUGAUGGUUUAAAAGUGUAUGACACUUUCCCCUUCACUCUCUGUCUCUCCUGCUCUGCCAUGGUAAGAUGUGCUUGCUUUCUCUUCAUCUUCCACCAUGAUUGUAAGUUUCCUGAGGCCUUCCAACCAUGCUUCCUGUCCAGCAUGUGGAACUGGAACUGUGAGUCAAUUAAACCUCUUUUAUUCAUAAAUUACCCAGUCUCAGGUAGUUCUUUAUAGCAAUGUGAGAACGGACUAAUACAGAAAAUUUGUAUCAGGAAAGUGGGGCAUUGCUUUAGAGAUACCUGAAAAUGUGGAAGCAACUUUGGAAUUGGGUAACAGGCAGAGGUUGGAACAGUUUGAAGGGUUUGGAAGAAGACAGGAAGAUGUGGGAAAGCUUGGAACAUCCUAGAGAUUUGUUGAAUGGUUUUGACCAAAAUGCUAAUAGUAAUAUAGACAAUAACAUCCAGGCUGAGAUGGUCUCAGAUGGAGAUGAGGAACUUAUUGGGAACUGGAGUAAAGGUCACUGUUAUGCUUUAGCAAAGAGACUGGCAGCGUUUUGCCCCUGCCCUAGAGAUUUGUGGAACUUUGAACUUGAGAGAGAUGAUUUAGGGUAUCUGGCAGGAGAAUUUCUAAGCAGCAAAGCAUUCAAGAUGUGACCUGGCUGUUUCUGCAAGUGCAUGCUUAUAUGUGUGAACAAAGAGAUUAUCUGAAACUGGAACUUACAUUUAAAAGGGAAACAGAGCAUAGCAGUUUGGAAAAUUUGCACCCUGGCUACAUGGCAGAAAAGAAAGACCCAGGCUGGGCGCAGUGGCUCACACCUGUAAUCUCAGUACUUUGGGAGGCUGAGGUGGGCGGAUCACCUGAGGGUGGGCGUUUGAGACCAGCCUGAUCAAAUUGGAGAAACCCCGUCUCUACUAAAAAUAGAAAAUUAGCCAGGUGUGGUGGCGCAUGCCUAUAAGCCCAGCUACUCGGGAGGCUGAGGCAGGAGAAUUGCUUGAAUCCAGAAGGCAGAGGUUGCAAUGAGCUGAGAUCGUGCCAUUCCACUCCAGCCUGGGCAACAAGAGUGAAACUCCAUCUC